AAUCCAUAGGUUAAUGAGGCGAACCGGGGGAACUGAAACAUCUAAGUACCCCGAGGAAAAGAAAUCAACCGAGAUUCCCCCAGUAGCGGCGAGCGAACGGGGAGGAGCCCAGAGCCUGAAUCAGCAUGUGUGUUAGUGGAAGCGUCUGGAAAGGCGCGCGAUACAGGGUGACAGCCCCGUACACAAAAGCGCAUGUGCUGUGAGCUCGAUGAGUAGGGCGGGACACGUGGUAUCCUGUCUGAAUAUGGGGGGACCAUCCUCCAAGGCUAAAUACUCCUGACUGACCGAUAGUGAACCAGUACCGUGAGGGAAAGGCGAAAAGAACCCCGGCGAGGGGAGUGAAAAAGAACCUGAAACCGUGUACGUACAAGCAGUGGGAGCACAGGUUUACCUGUGUGACUGCG
rnacentral:rRNA from 8 species